rnacentral:rRNA from 1 species
AUACAGGGGGUGCGAGCGUUAAUCGGAAUUACUGGGCGUAAAGAGUACGUAGGCGGUUGCUUAAGUCAGAUGUGAAAGCCCCGGGCUCAACCUGGGAACUGCGUUUGAAACUGAGUGACUAGAGUUUAAGAGAGGGGAGUAGAAUUCCGGGUGUAGCGGUGAAAUGCGUAGAGAUCCGGAGGAAUACCAGUGGCGAAGGCGGCUCCCUGGCUUAAAACUGACGCUGAGGUACGAAAGCGUGGGUAGCAAACAGGAUUAGAUACCCCAGUAGUCC